rnacentral:lncRNA from 1 species
GGGAGACGAAGAAAAUAAAUACUAAGGAGCCAGAAAUAAUUCUCGGACCCAGCAUCGUAAAAAGACAGCUAGUGAGCUGCAAGAAAGGAAGUUGGUGAAGACGAUGUUUUAUGAACAGCUGCAACCCGGAGCCAAAAGCCCAAAACAUCAAGAGACAAAACCAAAAGAGAUCCGGCGAACAGAGACAAGAAGAAGCUGGAGGAGAAGAAUCAGACGACAGAAAAGCUCGAACCUCUCUCUCCAAAAGAUAUCUAGAUAAAAGAGAG